rnacentral:lncRNA from 1 species
AAUUAUUUAUUUUUUACCAACAUACUCAUCUUUUCAGAUGAAGUCUGACGUGUGGUGAAAGAACACAGAAAGCAAACACCCCUCUGAGAAGAUGUCUCCCAACAGAUGCAUCCAUUCCUCAUACCUGUUGCGAACAUGCAUAUUUAUAUUAUAUAUGCAUCCAUCUGCAUGACAUUUAAAAUAUAGAAAAUAUCAAAUUCUUCUUCUACAUUCCUAAACCUUCUUACUGAGAGAACCACACAGAAAUUCGUCAGAAGUUAAGUUUUCCGGUGCUGGAAUUCUAACUUGAUCGUUGAAUCCUAGUGACGUAGACAUCCGUAGAAUUACAAGCACUAAGUAGGGAAGAAAUUUCUGUUUCAAGGACAUUACAGUACGCAAGUCUCGAUCUUCAAGUUGUCUGUUUUAUAUUUUUGUUUUGUUCAUACUCUGUUAAUUUUCUAUUCGUAUUUAUUAUUUAUUAGCAUAUAUAAUUAUAUCACAAAUUGUUGACAUAUAUCCAACAUACAUCACUUAAAACAAGCUUCGAUCUAAACCUAAAACAUAACCCAAGGGUUUCUAGAAGCUUACCAAUGAACAGUCGGAGAAGACAAUGAACAGUGACACCGUCACUGUUGGGGUUCCACAAAGGUUUGCUUGAGUUUUCUCAAGGUUCCUAUGUCCAAUGGUGUUGGUUUGGGGUUGUUGUUGUUGCUUAUGUGAGUGACAAAAUCUAGAAGAGAGGGAGAGAUCACAGAGGGAGUGCACGGGGAAAAAGAGGUCCGGGGGUGAGGGAAGAUAGAGGGAGGGAGCUGAGAGAGUUGUGAGAAAUGGAGAGAGGAUUGAGAGAGAAGAGAGAUGAGAGGCUCGGGGGACAAAAAUAAGGGGUGGGCCCCUUGGGCUCACCAAUUAAGAUCAAAAAACAAUUUUUUAAAUAAAAACCUAAAACUUAGUAAAAUUAUAAACUAAAAUUGGGGAGGGGUUUUACAAUUAAUCAUCGAUUUAUACUGUUUAAUUGUCUUAAUACUUAGCUACCAUUAGGAUCUUUAGAAAAGUAAUUUGAUGCAAUUUUGGUCGAAGGUCGUCCCUGAAAUUGACGAAGGCUUCUUGUGAUUAAUAUGUGCAAGUUCACUUAAAAUGAAUACGACGUCUUAAGGGUUGUAUGGUUUUUCAAAAGGUUUCACAAAACUUAAUGAGUCAUGCAUGUUUAGAUUUGAUCUAAAUACUAUAGACAGGUUGCAUGUUUGAUAUACGUUCGAUGUUGGGGGUCCAAGUAUGCAUAUUUAGGGGUGGAAAAAAAAUCCCGAAAAUCCCGAACCGAACUGAAAAAAUCCCGAUCCCAAACCAAAAAUUUUCCAACCGAAAUUCACAAUAUUUUC